rnacentral:rRNA from 1 species
UACGUAGGGUGCUAGCGUUGUUCGGAAUCAUUGGGCGUAAAGCGCGUGUAGGCUGUUAGUUAAGUCGGGUGUGAAAUCCCUGGGCUCAACCGAGGAAGUGCAUCCGAAACUAACAAGCUAGAAGAUGGUAGAGGAAGGUGGAAUUCCUAGUGUAGAGGUGAAAUUCGUAGAUAUUAGGAGGAAUACCGGUGGCGAAGGCGGCCUUCUGGACCAUUCUUGACGCUGAGACGCGAAAGCGUGGGGAGCAAACAGG